UUGCUGAUGCUAAGAACCCGGUCUACAUUGGACUACAGAGUCCGGCCAAGUCGUCCUAUAAUUAGAUACUUAAAACUUCCAAAAUUGCUCAGUAUCAUUUACUGUGGAAUCAUUAAAAUUCACCGCAGCUCAAUUUUUGUGAAUAUGUGGAUCUCCUUCAUCCACAUACAUCCUCAACGAAUUAUUAAAUACAGUAUUCAUUUGUUAAUCAUACAAUUGAAUCUUAAAAACUUUGUUCCCAUGGAAAUUGGUCUUGAUGAAAUUUAAUGAUCUCCCAGUAUUUGAUGUUAAGAUAUACAAUUGUAACCUUAGACCUUUCAUUUUGUUAAAACGAAAAAUAUUGAUAUUGAUAAUUUUGUAGACUCUAUUUAUUAACGAAACUUUAUCAAACUUUAUCUAAUAGUUUUGACUGUCUCUGUAUUUAAAUGGAUUGCAAAGGUUGAUUCAGGUUUGCCUCAUAAAUUACCGGUAAAAGAAUGUGUCAAUAUCCACGAAUCUAUGAAAUAAGAAUUUUGAUCUUUUGAUUAUUACAAAUUAGUCAAAAAAUUCAUCUGAGUUUACAAUAUGAGCUGUACAAAUGUCUAUGAAUGUAGUUAGUGUAUAUCUUAUUAUUGAUAGAAAAUAGUUUUACAUUUUUAUAAAAGCAUCAGGAAUGAACCAAAAAUGAUAGCUGUUGUUUAUAACCUGUGAGCUUUAUUUUGUUAUUUUGUGCAUGUUAUUUGGACAUUAGUAAUAGUCUGCUUUAACUUUAUGCAAGAGAUUUAUAGAAAAUUUUAGAACUUGAAUUGUAAAUUGGUUCAGCUUUUAUCCAUAUGUAAGUUACUGGUAGCAAUUGAAUUAAUACUCGUCCUCAACACACACAACUUUUGUAUCAAACUAGUUGAACUUUUUUUUUGUGGUACAUACUUUUUUGUCUACCAUAAUAUUGUACUUUAUCAUGUCUAGCCUUACAAUGCAUGCUUUAUUUAUCUACCUGUAUUUGACUUAUCUUCACGUCUUUUAUGGAGACUUUUCUUGACUUAUGUUGUCUGUUACCUCGUAUUAUCUUCACCCCUUGACAUGCUUUUUUUAUCAUUUUAACGAUAUGUUUAUGAUGUACUGAUGUUGUCUUAAUUAUUACAGUGCUACUCUUUAAAUGAUUCUAUCUCUCUCUCUUCAGUUUCAAAUGUUUUACAUAGACUUGCAUCUGAAUCAAAUCAAGUUAUUGAAAACAGGGUGUUUUUAAUUAUACUUAAUUGUUAAAAUACUAUAUUAUAUAAUUUUCACCUUUCUAACCUACUGAUUGAAUUAUUUUUUUUCUUUUUUUUUUAAAACGUAGGCAGUGUUUCAUUUGCAUUGGUAAUAAAUUGAUAUCCUU
rnacentral:misc_RNA from 1 species